UGGUGUCCCCUCUCUGUCCUCUCAGCCUUUUUCAUUGCUGUCCCUUCCCAGGGUCUGUGUUCAUACCAAAGGGCUGUGAUGAGCCCUGCUGUAGGAAGCUCGGGUCCUGGGGGCUUCAGAGCAGAGAACCUACAGGCCGCACAAACCUUUCCUGCUGCUGCUGCACUCCUUACGGCACAAUUUCAAAAUCUAUUCACAUCAACAAACUCUCUUCCAUAGCUUUUACAUAAAACCUCCCGUCCCCACCAGGAAGAGUAGGGCAGAAGCGGGUGGGGAGGAAGCCCCGACCCUACCACACGUCUCAGGAGCCCAGGAGGACUUGCCCAGGACUUGAGAGGCAGAACGAGGGCAGGACAGCCCCUCCCCCAGACCCACAGGUCCCAAGUCCCCAGAUCCAUCCAAGGGCACCCUGACUCCUCUCCUGCCACGUCACUUGGUUGGCCUCAGUGAUGAGGAUGUCAUUCCUGAGCCAUGAAACAGUUAAGAAAUAUCCACCCCACUGGCUGCCAUGCUCAUAAAGGGAGGUCCACGUGUACUUCCGUGUGGCUCCAGAUGGGCGGCUCACUCAUUUGCUCACACCCGGCGGGGAGCCAAGGCAGAGGCCAGCAGCACCACCACCUUCCCAUGCAAAUCAGCCCCGGGAGUGCAGCUGGGCCCCUCCCGCUCCUGCCUCCCAGGCAAUGCUCCUGGGGAGGCCUUGCGGAAGAUGCCACCCUGGGCGCUGUGCUGUCUUCCUCUGCCUGGCCCUCGUGCUCGACGCUGUGGGCCUGGUCCUUUUGCUGCUGGGCAUCUUCGCCUCCCUCGACUUCUGGGACUUCUUGGUCUACACGGGGUCCCUGAUCCUGGCUUUCAGCCUGCUCUUCUGGAUCAUCUGGUACUCCCUCAACAUCAACGUGCCUCUUGAGAAACUGGACUCGUAGUUAGGAGGCGGGCAGAGGAGGAAGGACUCAGGCUUCCUGGCGGGCGGAGGGGCAGGGGCAUGCUGCAGCUCCCACCCCAAAUGCCCCGCCGGGGACCAGAUUCGAAUCCCGGACUGACCCAUCUAGUCUUCAUGUAUUCAGCCCAAGUCCCAUCUGGCGGAGAAGCAGCAAAGCAAGCUGAUGCCCUGUUUCUGCAACACAUCCUGUAACAGAACCCGGAAGGAACCAGAGGCUGUGAGGUGGAAGCUUUCAAAGCACCCGCUAGGAUGCCCGGGAAUGGCCACGAGUGCCUGGCUUCCAGAGGGUUCCAGGCUCCAUCAAGAGACCAGCACCCCUGCCCUGGGCCACUGACACCACUGCCGGCACCCCAGCCGUUUGUGAGGUUCUGGGGAGCCCCUAAUGUUCGCACAGUGGGACUUUUAUGGCAAUAACCCUGCUGCUGCGGGCUUGCGCACCCAACGAGAAGUCCGUCCAAAGUCCGAAUGUGAUCUCCUGCAAGCAAGUAUCACACAACGUUGCUGCCUCUUCUGCUCUUCGGCUCUUUGGACAGACUGUGUGAGCCCCUGGAGGGCCCACCUCAUCCAUCUCUUGGUGUCAUCCAGUCGGCACGUGGUAGUGUAUUUCAACAUGCUGGCUGCCAAGGCAAAUGCAGAGCCAGUGCUGAGUGCAGGAGGUCCCCCUCCUCGGUGCUGGACACCCGGAACCACCAGUGCCGCCCCCGACUUGCACGACCGGGCCAUGUUGGGGGGGGGGGGUGUUCACAUUAAGCUUUUAGUCAAAUGAAACCCUCCGGGCAUUUUUCUGACAAGUUUCUGACAAGCGUUUUCUAGACUCUGCUGUGCUGUCCUUGCGUCAUUCGUUUCUUGAUCCUAAGAGCAGGCCUCUAUUUUUAUCUUAAUUCAAUUGCAUCUAGCCCAACGCAGCCCAACUAGAGCACCUAGCAACCUUCACAGGCUCAUCAGAUGUGCUCAUGCCUGUCACCUGUGCUCGAGCUGCCCCACUAAUUUAUGUCCCCCAGCUUAAUUUUGUAUUUUUUAUUUAUAUCUCACCCUAAACGUGUAUGUGUUUCUUCCAGAAGCUGCCUCAGAUCUUUUGUGGUGUGAGGUAGUUACCUAAAUAAAGAAGCUGAUUGGCCUUUUAACACAACAUAA